CGGACCGGCGCACGGGUGAGUAACACGUAUGGAACCUGCCCUAUGCGAGGGGGAUAAGCGGAAGAAAUUCCGUCUAAUACCGCAUAACACCUUUAGGAGACAUCUUCGUUGGGGUACAAAGGAGGCGACUCCGGCAUAGGAUGGCCAUGCGUCGCAUUAGCUAGGUCGGGCGGGGUAACGGCCCACCGAGGCGACGAUGCGUAGGGGUUCUGAGAGGAAGGUCCCCCACACUGGUACUGAGACACGGACCAGACUCCUACGGGAGGCAGCAG
rnacentral:rRNA from 1 species